CGCCGGCCACCGCUCGUGAUCGAAACACCGGCACCUGUCAGAUCGACGGAGGAGAAAUCUUGGGUGGAGCUAGCAGUUGCCGAUCGAGAGACAAAAGUGUGGAUGGGCUUGCUUACCUAUUAUCUUACCGGCGGUUAAUUUCUCAUCUUUGGAGCAACGCCGGUCGCCGGCGGCGACUAGCUACUCUAGCAGUCGUCGCGCUUCUUCGUUCUCUGGCCGUGCCAGAGUGGGGCGCUCGCAUCGCAGCUGGCGCGUUCCAUACGGCGAAGCUGGAAGGAGCCCCAGUGUGACUGUGGCGAAGCUGGACGACGGUCACGAGCCUUAGGACGUGUUUGGAAGCUCGGAUAGC
rnacentral:lncRNA from 1 species